UAGGGAAUCUUCGGCAAUGGGGGGAACCCUGACCGAGCAACGCCGCGUGAGUGAAGAAGGUUUUCGGAUCGUAAAGCUCUGUUGUUAAGGAAGAACGAGUGUGAGAAUGGAAAGUUCAUACUGUGACGGUACUUAACCAGAAAGGGACGGCUAACUACGUGCCAGCAGCCGCGGUAAUACGUAGGUCCCGAGCGUUGUCCGGAUUUAUUGGGCGUAAAGCGAGCGCAGGCGGUUAGAUAAGUCUGAAGUUAAAGGCAGUGGCUCAACCAUUGUAGGCUUUGGAAACUGUUUAACUUGAGUGCAGAAGGGGAGAGUGGAAUUCCAUGUGUCGCGGUGAAAUGCGUAGAUAUAUGGAGGAACACCGGUGGCGAAAGCGGCUCUCUGGUCUGUAACUGACGCUGAGGCUCGAAAGCGUGGGGAGCGAACAGG
rnacentral:rRNA from 1 species